UACGUAGGGGACAAGCGUUGUCCGGAAUCACUGGGCGUAAAGGGCACGUAGGCGGUUUAUUAAGUCUGAUGUGAAAGGUCUCGGCUCAACCGAGGACAUGCAUUGGAAACUGGUAGACUUGAGUACUGGAGAGGCAAGUGGAAUUCCUAGUGUAGCGGUGAAAUGCGUAGAUAUUAGGAGGAACACCGGUGGCGAAGGCGGCUUGCUGGACAGAUACUGACGCUGAGGUGCGAAAGCGUGGGGAG
rnacentral:rRNA from 1 species